AGCGAACGCUGGCGGCAGGCCUAACACAUGCAAGUCGAACGAACUCUUCGGAGUUAGUGGCGGACGGGUGAGUAACACGUGGGAACGUGCCUUUUGGUUCGGAAUAACUCAGGGAAACUUGUGCUAAUACCGAAUGUGCCCUUCGGGGGAAAGAUUUAUCGCCAUUAGAGCGGCCCGCGUCUGAUUAGCUAGUUGGUGAGGUAACGGCUCACCAAGGCGACGAUCAGUAGCUGGUCUGAGAGGAUGACCAGCCACACUGGGACUGAGACACGGCCCAGACCCCGACGGGGGGCGGAAGGGGGGAAGUUUGCGGAAGGGGGGAAAGCCUGAAGCGCCCAGCCCGGGGGAAUGAAGAAGGUCUUAGGGUUGUAAAAUUCUUUCACCGGGGACGAAAAGGAGGGAACCCGGAGAAGAAGCCCCGGCUAACUUCGU
rnacentral:rRNA from 1 species